AGUGGUGAUUCUAUACUAAUUUCUCCAUAGCCGAAGAGACAUACAAUAAUCAGUAAUCAACGACGAAUCUGGUUUAGACUCAGGAACUGCAAUCAAAUAUGCUACUUCAGCAAAAGGGCCAUCUAAUUAACUCUAUGAUGCCACAUCAUUUUGUUGAUCAAGUUAUCAGUAUCGUCAACAAUGAUGUUCCAAAGAUUAAAGGAAUCUGUUUUGGAUAUACAUUUUAGACAUCUGCACAACGAAGGAUUUAAAAAAGUUAGGCCUACUAAAUCCGUUUUCAGCUUCGAAGUCCUAGGGGUAAUUGUAAAAACAAGCAGAGGCCAGUAUAUACAAGCACAUACUGUUUUCUCCGAAAAAGCACAUGUUGUUUAGUUUUAAUAACAAAUGAAGGAUAAUUCUCUCAGUUCCAUCAUAACCAAGGAGAUAUUAAAUUUUCCACUAAUACUAUAUCAGCUAUGCAUAUAUUGCAUUUUGCCAAAAGUUUGAACGUAUCCAUUAAUAUUUCUGUGAAGUUUCAAAUCUGUAUGCAUUUCCAAAUCUUCUAGUCCGCGCAACAACUUUUUCAUAACAUGUCGUUGGAACAUGCAAAAUCCAUGUUGUUAUUAUCCAAAACCAACAGAUAUAUAUUGACAGUAAAUCAAGAAAAACACAAUUAUUUAGUCAAGACCAUGUUAAUAUUUCUAAGAUUAUGUGUACACAUGGGAGACGGACAGUUGGGCCAAUGUGUAAGGGACCUGACACAAGGGAUGUGUGCACUGAUGACAAGA
rnacentral:lncRNA from 1 species